GUGCUCACUUCAGCAGCACAUACACCCAAACUGGAAUGAUACAAAGAUUAGCAUGACCCCUGUGCAAGGACAACACACAAAUUCAUAAGGCGUUCCAUACCAUG